rnacentral:lncRNA from 1 species
UCGAAUUAGAGCUGACAACACGAGGGAGGAAGCCCACCGUCUGCGACGGUGAUUUCGCCUGAUGAACAGUCGUUACUGGGUGUAUUUGGCUUCAUUGGCCCUUUAAUUGUCAUAUUCGGUGGCCUCCUCUCUCCAUCUCUUCGCUUCUCUGUUUUCCUCUUUGGAUUUUUGCCCUAAUUUCAGACGAGAGAGAGAGAAACGUGAGAGCAGGGGAGACGUCGUGCACCAGCGGCGGAGCGCGGUGGAUGGCAACCGCAUAAGGCGGUCGGCUUGUGGCCCUUUUCUCAUGAUCAGGUGUCUGAGGUUUGGGGCUUUGGACUACCACGAUCACGGUGAACAAUGUAGCAUCGACUAGGUAGUUUGUAGGGUUUAAGAAGCCUUUGCUUUCUGAUGAUCCUUAGCUAAAGUUGCUAUGGAAUCCAGCCUUGGUCUGUUCACCAAGGUAUCUUUUCUUUUU